UCGAGCGAGAAAGUGGAGCAAUCCAUGAGUACAGCGGCGUACGGGUGAGUAACACGUGGGUAAUCUACCUCUUAGUGGGGAAUAACCCUGGGAAACCGGGGCUAAUACCGCAUAAGCCUUAGCAGGGAAAGCAGCAAUGCGCUGAGAGAGGAGCCCGCGGCCGAUUAGCUAGUUGGUGGGGUAAGAGCCCACCAAGGCAGAGAUCGGUAGCCGGCCUGAGAGGGCACACGGCCACACUGGCACUGAAACACGGGCCAGACUCCUACGGGAGGCAGCAGUGGGGAAUCUUGCACAAUGGGGGAAACCCUGAUGCAGCGACGCCGCGUGAGCGAUGAAGCCCUUCGGGGUGUAAAGCUCUUUCGGCAGGGAAGAUAAUGACGGUACCUGCAGAAGCAGCUGCGGCUAACUACGUGCCAGCAGCCGCGGUAAUACGUAGGCAGCAAGCGUUGUUCGGAGUUACUGGGCGUAAAGGGUGUGUAGGCGGUUCUUUAAGUUUGGUGUGAAAUCUCCCGGCUCAACCGGGAGGGUGCGCCGAAUACUGAGGGACUCGAGUGCGGGAGAGGAAAGUGGAAUUCCUGAUGUAGCGGUGAAAUGCGUAGAUAUCAGGAGGAACACCGGUGGUGUAGACGGCUUUCUGGACCGUAACUGACGCUGAGACACGAAAGCGUGGGUAGCAAACAGGAUUAGAUACCCUGGUAGUCCACGCCCUAAACGAUGCAUAUUUGGUGUGGGCAGUUCAUUCUGUCCGUGCCGGAGCUAACGCGUUA
rnacentral:rRNA from 1 species